AAGAAAAAAUAUCUACCGAUUGGUGGUAUGUGAAUAGGUAUACGAUAUACGAUAAUCACAGUUAGAUACCUAGCUGUUCAAAACCUAUCUUUACCAGCUAUUAUAAUUAAAUUAAUUUGAACCUACCUACAUCAACAGUUGACGGAUCUACAGACAAAAAUAAACUGCAGAUACUCGAAAAUUAAAUUACUGUGGAAAAUCUUUGGACAACAUAGCCGGGUGGGAGA